rnacentral:ncRNA from 1 species
AAACGAAGGAGUUAUCGCAACGCAAUUAAGAGCUAAAGCGGUAGCUAACAUGUUGGCCCCGAAAUAACUCUCUACAAGAUUAUUUCGGGUGAAGGUAUAGUCUGAUACUCUGAGUGAUCGGAGAAAACACUAUGACGGUCCAUACACCUACGGGUGGCUGCAGCCGAGAAUAUUCGACAAUGGGCGAAAGCCUGAUCGAGCGACGCCGCGUGCGGGAUGAAGUCCUUCGGGAUGUAAACCGCUUUUGUAGACUAGAAAGUUUAUUGAUCAGUCUAAGAAUAAGAGGUUACUAAACUCGUGCCAGCAGUAGCGGUAAUACGAGUGCCUCAAGCGUUAUCCGGAAUUAUUGGGCGUAAAGGGUGUGUAGGCGGUCUUGUUAGUCUUCUGUCAAAUUCUUCGGCUUAACCGGGGGCUCGCAGAAGAAACGGCAAGACUUGAGGGUGCGAGAGGUUUGCGGAACUCAUGGUGUAGGGGUGAAAUCCGUUGAUAUCAUGGGGAACACCGAAAGCGAAGGCAGCAAACUGGCGCAUUCCUGACGCUGAAACACGAAAGCGUGGGUAGCGAAUGGGAUUGACGCUCGCAGUACAUGCUUUUUUAAGCAGAAUGCUUCGGCAAAAGAAAAUCAUAGUCGGUUCACAACGAGAAAUGAAAAACUCGCAGACUCAAACAGUUUCAUUUCUCUGUUCACCUCCUCGAUUUUCAUUUUGCCUCCCGCAAUGCUUAAAAAAGCAUGUACUGCUCGCUUUAUGUUGGAAAGAAAAACAACAGAAAGCGGAACGUAGGGGUACGUUGAGCACUAGUCCCCCCGUGAAGCGGAAGCGUUUUACGGGGAUAACCUAGCUAUAUGCUGGAAAACCCGAGUAUCUGGGAGUACUUCGUGAGUACGAAGUGAAAAUCUCUCCAGUGCGGGCAAUCAGCAGGAAAGGAUUAAUGAAAUAUGUCCUAGAGUAUGAAGCCUCUUGCCCGGGGCUCGGAAAGAGUCGGGGCAAAACUAUGUUUACAGCAGAGAAUGAUGGUGCAGCUGAAAGAGAGGUUGCAGAUGUUCUCUUCGGUUUAUAUAGUUCAAGCCAAUGGAGACAUAUGGGCAGUAGUUCAUCGGACUGGAAACCUUUGUUGUUAUCCAGAGUCAGUCCUUUGAAAGAUUUUGCUUAAAACGGGCAUCCAGAUUAAUCUUCCUCAGAGACUAUACGCUGGGCUCAACUUUCUGAAUCAAGGAUAUCGGCAGUCCGAUGUCCCUUUUUCAGAGAGUUGGUGAAGAUAUAGUCCGAACUCUAUGGCGACAUAGAGAGGCAAGCAGAAAUGACUUGCCCGACCCCAUUAGAAAGGCGAAGUGCCUUCUAACGGGGCAAGCUUGCACACUUUGUGAUGAGUCCGCCGCUGACAUCGUAGGUCUACUUGAUUAACGGAAGUCUUGAGACGGACAUCCUGCUAGACUCAGUCUUUUCCGUGUCGGCUUGUGGCCUUGACUCAUCAUAGAGUAACCGAUUUUCCGUAUCGGUUGCUCUCAUCACAAAGUGUGCAAGAGUGGCAAUUUUGAAUUUCCAUUUGCAAAUUUCUUUUUUGAACAUUUGAAUUUGUUUGGAAUUUGGAAUUUGUGAUUUGGAAUUUUCAAAAUUGUUACAAAGUAACAAUUUUGUAGAUACCCCAGUAGUCCACGCCCUAAACGAUGUUCAUUGGCUUUUCAGAGUAUCGACCCUCCGAGAGGCGAAGCUAACGCGAUAAAUGAACCGCCUGGGUAGUACG